rnacentral:lncRNA from 1 species
GGUGGUGUAGCAGGUGGAGGUUCAGGUCAUGGUGGAGGAUUUGGUGCAGGUGGUGGUAUAGGAAGUGGAGGUGGAGCAGGUUUAGGAAGUGGUCAUGGUGGUGGUGGGUUUGGUGUUGGAAUUGGCAUUGGCAUUGGAGUUGGAAUUGGAACUGGAACAGGAACAGGUACUGGAGUUGGAGUUGGAAGCGGUUCUGGUGGUGGUGGUGGCAAACAUUAAGCAUGCAUGAAGUUAUACAUUUCUGCAUCUUCUUGCUAAUACUACCUGGACAGUGGAACGUACCUCAAAUAAUGAGUCGUUUAUGUGAUUAUCACAAUGUUUUUCUAUAUAAUUUAUUUAAGGUUUUAUAACACUUUUGUUACAUUAUGACAUCCUUGUUAGUUGUUAGUCACUACAACAUCUUUAUUUGAAAACUGUAAUAAACUACUCAGUUACGUGAAUCCAAACUGUGUUUUUUAAGAAUAUAGUCAUGUCUCAGACAAACAUGAUCAAUGGAGCUCCAUCUUCGUUUCGAGGCCGAAAGGGUAUUAGUGCUUAAGAAUUAAGAUCUCUUUUAAUUUAUAAGGAAGUUUACGUCUCAAACUUCAUGUUGGCGUUCACGUAAAAAAUAAAAAAUAAGUUGUCACAAGAUUAACAAAGGAUUAAUGAUUACACAAGGAUCCUCUUCCCAAAUUUUUUUUGUCUUAAUGUACCAAAUCAAUCAAAUUUCAUAGAAUAGUGUAUAAAUAUUAAUUUAUGUUAUUAUAAUUUUUAUUUUUUAAUCAAAUAAGAUUUUAUGAUUGAAUGGGAACACCAAAUGAGAUAGGAAUGACGACAUUUGAUCUCCACCCUUAGGCUUUGUUUGGGAGUUAGGAAGGAAGAAGAAGGGGAAGGAGAGAUAUCAAAGGGUUAGGAAGGGGGAGGAAUGGAAUAGAAAAUGAAGGAAAUCCUCUGCAUUAUUUGAGAGUAUAAAAUUUAGACGAAUGAGGGUAAAUUAAUGAUAAUGUAAGAAUAUUUUUUAUUUUUCAUUAAAAAUGUAAUUAACAAUGAGAAAUGAUUAUAUAUUAUUAUUAAACAUAUUUCGUUAUUUUGACAUUUUAUAUCCAAAAACUUAUCAUCUCUUUGAUCCAACUCCCAAACAAGGAGAAGACUUUCCAAAGUAAUCAUUUUCCUUUCCUUCUCCUUCAAAACUUCACUCUCAAACAAUACCUUAAUGAUUAGUUUUGUUCACGUUACAGAACUAGUUACAUUAACCGUGCCCAAAAAAUACUUUAACACUAUUGGGAAGGGAUGAAGUUCUCAUGUCCCAUUGGUGUCUCUAAAGGUGUCCAAAGUCAAUCAAAAUGCAUCAUUUAAUUGAAAAAAAGUUACUAAACAAUGAGUUUGUAUAUAUAGGUUAGGGCUAAUGAGUUAUUGAGAAUACUUUUUCAUUUUUUAAUGGAAGUGUCCUUAAACUAGUUUAGGAGUCUAUGUCGUAAAAUGAUCAUAUCUUCAAUUUCUAGUCAUAGUUUUCUCCAAAUUUAGACAAAUUUUCUUUUUGUUUUUUUAGAAUAUUUCUAUUUAAUUAAUUGCACUUUUUCAUUAAACAUACACAAAAAGAUUGGGACAAAAAUGUAUGAUCUAUACUUUCUCCAUGAAAGUUAAUUUAUUUAUGCCAUUGAACGUGGAAUUAUUUUUCUUUGGAACAAAAUACAAGUGUAUAGUACAGAUAAGCAAUACAAAUGGCAUGAUACCUAACAAAUGUAUCGAUCUAUCUAUCAGUAUAAUUCAACACAUCCAAAUAGAAAGUCAACCUGAUCAACGUUUGACUUUACAUCCUACUUCACUUCUACACACUUGUUCUCAUUUAAUGUAGCAUCAAUGCCUCAACAGUUCAGAAAAUGCACCCUUUAAUAGGUAGUUAGACACACUGUUUCAUUUGGCAACAAGUGGACGAAGCCUAUAUAAUGCAUAGUCCUUAUUCCCCAAGAGCAGCAACAAGUGGAAGUGAAAGUAAGUGGUUAACUUUGUACUUAUUUCAUUAUCUUCUUCUUUUCGUAGUUGGCACUUAAGAGUGUUAUGGGUACUUUAAAUUUCCAUCGGAAAUGGCUUUCUGUGAGUGUUCUUGUUUUCUGCAUUGUUCUUCACAUGAGUGUAAUCACUCUUGGUGAUGAUUGUCGAUUUGGAGGUGGACCACGCUGCAGGGGUUGGUUUGGUGGCCGUCGUGGCCGGGGAGGUGGUUUGGGCAGUGGAAGAGGCUUUGGUCGUGGUGGUCUUGGAGGAGGUUCUGGUGGCGGCGGCGGCUUUGGUGGUGGAGGAGGUGGUGGUCUUGGGGGUGGGUCAGGUCAUGGUGGAGGUUUUGGCGCCGGGGGAGGUGUAGGUGGUGGAGCUAGAGGUGGAGGCCUUGGUGGAGGAAGUGGUGGUGGAGGUGGAUUGGGAGGUGGCUCAGAACAUGGUGGAGGAUUUGGAGCUGGAGGUGGUGUUGGCGGUGGUUCAGGAGGUCUUGGUGGUGGAGCAGGUGGGGGUGGAGGUGGCGGUUUAAGUGGAGGCUCAGGUCAUGGUGGAGGUUUUGGUGCAGGUGGUGGAGUAGGAGGUGGGGCUUCUGGAGGAGGAAUUGGUGGUGGAGGAGGUGGUGGUAGUGGUGGUGGUGGAGGAAUAAGUGGAGGUUCAGGUCAAGGUGGCGGUUUUGGUGCCGGUGGUGGUGUAGGAGGUGGGGCUGCGGGAGGAGGAAUUGGUGGUGGGGGAGGUGGUGGUAGCGGUGGCGGCAGUGGAAUAAGUGGAGGUUCAGGUCAAGGUGGCGGUUUUGGUGCAGGUGGUGGUGUAGGAGGGGGGGCUGCCGGAGGAGGAAUUGGUGGCGGAGGAGGAGGUGGUAGCGGAGGUGGGAUAAGUGGAGGUUCAGGUCAAGGUAGCGGUUUUGGUGCAGGUGUUGGUGUAGGAGGUGGAGCUAGUGGAGGAGUUGGAGGUGGAGGUGGAGCAGGAGGAGGAGGAGGUGGUGGAGUAGGUGGAGGUUCAGGUCAAGGUGGAGGGUUUGGUGCAGGUGGUGGUGUAGGAGGUGGAGCUGCUGGAGGAGGUGGAGGAGGAGGAGGUGGCGGCGGAGGUGGUGGUGUAGCAGGUGGAGGUUCAGGUCAUGGUGGAGGAUUUGGUGCAGGUGGUGGUAUAGGAAGUGGAGGUGGAGCAGGUUUAGGAAGUGGUCAUGGUGGUGGUGGGUUUGGUGUUGGAAUUGGCAUUGGCAUUGGAGUUGGAAUUGGAACUGGAACAGGAACAGGUACUGGAGUUGGAGUUGGAAGCGGUUCUGGUGGUGGUGGUGGCAAACAUUAAGCAUGCAUGAAGUUAUACAUUUCUGCAUCUUCUUGCUAAUACUACCUGGACAGUGGAACGUACCUCAAAUAAUGAGUCGUUUAUGUGAUUAUCACAAUGUUUUUCUAUAUAAUUUAUUUA